UCUGUUUUUCCCCUUCACCCUUUGUUUUUAAAGUCCUUUCCACUUUCCAGCCCGGGUGUUUUCCUGCAGAGGCACAGCAAGUCAGCCCAACUCCUCCCUCCCCACCCAAUCAGGGUUCUUCAUGGAUGGCACACUUAGAAGGAAGCAAACAAAAAUAUCUUCUAUCAACAGGCUUUUCCUUCCUCUUAUCAAGCUUAUUAAAGGAGCCAAAUCCUUCCAAUUCAGUCUGGACUGACCUUUAUGUACUUCAUUGUAGUUUAAAAAACCCUGACUCUGCUUCACUGGGAUUCUGGGCUAAACAUUAAGUCAGUGUGCACUGAAUGCAGGGUCCUACUGCAGAAAAUCCCAGCAAGCUGGCUGUGAUUUUCUCCUGAGUCCAUCACAUUCAGAUCCAGAUCCCCACUGGCUUUUAGUGGGACCAGACUGUCUUUGUAUGAGCCUGAGGAUUGAUUGGCUCAUCUUUUUUUUUGGCUGGCAGCUGUUCCUGCUCUCGUUAGUACAUGAAAGUCUAAUUGUGCUGGGCAGCUCUGUCCUGGCAAGCAACUUUGAAAUUCUGAGUGAAAUGGAACCAGACCUCAUUAAUUCUACUUUUUAGAGAAAUCCUGGGCUGAAGACUUGAGCUGCUGUUAUUUCUGUCAAGUUACUUUCCAUAGUCACUCACCUCUGGCAGACUGCAGUCACUGCUAAGGUGAGCAGAUAUUCAUGGAGGCUUUAAAGCACUGCCUGAAAUCAGGUCAAUCUGUCAAUAGCUGUCAAUCUGGUGACCUGGACCUGAAAGGCUUCUGUGACAUUUUUCAGUCCCUCAGUCCCAGGAUCUCCUGAGAAAUCCCUGGCAGCAAGGGAAGUCUGGGUGAAACCCAGUUUCAUUGGCAAGUACAUUUCUGUUUCUUUGAGAAGUGCAUAUCCAGCUGAAAUUCGGUUUGCAGGGCUGGUCUGUCUCAGGCACUGCUGGGUCCUGCACUGGGCAGUCACCCACAGCACAAACAAAGCCCCUGGGCACAGUUACCUUCCCAUAAAACACAAUUCCCCCUGGAAUGCUCGCAGCUGACCUUUCUGGUCUCAUUAGCUGGAAAAGGGGCUGUUACUGGGCUUGUCUCAGAUGCAAUCAUUGCUUGAACAUGCCAUUUAGGACUCCUGUGAAGGUGAGACACAGCAAGGCACCUUUUCCUUCCCGUGCUCCUCAUCCUCAGCUGUUCCCAAACCUGUCUGACACCCAAGAACCUCUCCAGAGGCUGCAGCACAUUUUCAGGCUGUGGGAAGUUUGAGCUGUUAAAAACACUAGCACAGCACUAAUAAAAUCUAAACACUUAUAGUCAAAUCUUAUUCCUGAUGCUGCUAAAUGGGAACUUACAGCUUAACAUAAUAGGCAAUUUAGCAUACAAAUGUGCCCCAUAAAAGCAAGGAUGUUGGCAGUGCAAAACCAUAAAUGUUAACCUUUGGGCAAGCUGUUACAAAUGUGCUACAGGCUCUUGCAAUUUUAAUGAACUUGUUUGCACACACGAGGUUUAUUUUGUCCUAAACACUGGGAUGCACACGCCGAGGAACACCUUCAAAAAUUCAGAUGUGUGGGAGCCCAGCGUGUCCCACUCCUCAGAGGAAAAUGAUCAUGAGGAAAAUGACCUUUUUGCCCUCAGAAAUGUGAUGGAGAAACAAUGCAUAACUCUCCUGACAGUGUUAGAGAAUAUAGGAAAUAUUUUAUGAGUACAAGUGUUGGCAGUCAAGACUCAUAUCCUGGACGAGCACAGAUGAUAAUGAAUGUGAUUUUCCUGAGUCGUGGUUUCAUUAUUUUUUGGUAAGUUCCUGGAAAGGCACAGGUUGUUGAAGAUGUGAGAAAUCCACAGCAAUUUCCCCCCCAAACCAGGGCUAAUAGCUGUCUUAUGAACUCGUAGGCACCUGUGACCUUUCCUUGUGAGCAAUCUGGGUUUGAUGAAUCAAAGUCUAAGCAUCCCCACAAUCAAAUAAUCCUGCAGAGCAACCAAAUUAAGUUGCUCCAUUUCAGGGAAUCUCUUGGGGAAAAAAAAAGACACAAUUUUCAAGCAGCUUUGCUAAUCCUGAACAUUCACAAUCCAGCCUUGGUGCUGGGCAUGUUUUCAGUCCAAGUCUCUCACGUUUUUUGGCAUUGGAAGGCCACUUCAUUCCAAAGCAGAAUUAUUCAGAGCUGCUCUUUCAAGCAAAAUGUGUGAAAGAUGAAUCAUUAAAAAUAAAAAGAGAUGAUGUCUCAGUCUUAUCUGACUCCUCUGCCAAAUUUUCUUCACCUUACACCCCAGGAUUGCUGCAGCCAAAAUAUGGAGAUUUCAGUUUGCAUUCAGAGUUUAACAACGUCUACUGGAACGUUCAUAGCCAAGAACCUUCUCACUUGCUUAUUCCUUCAAGUCAAGGAAAAAAGAGCUCAAAGAAAUCUCUUCUUAAUUGGCUGUGAAGUUCUUUUAGCUUGGUUAACAGCCUAAACAGCCAAGGAAGCAUGGCACUGGAUUGUAAAGAGAAUUCAUGCAGAGACCAGAAAGUGCUUACCAGGUAUUUCUCACCUCACUAACAACUCAAUUUGCUCCCUUAUUGUUAAUAGAUGUAUCUGUAUACACAGGGAACAAUCUGAGACUCCUCGGGAUACAAAGCAAGAAGAAAUUGCAGAUUUUCAUAACAACUUGCAUUAUUAUAAAGUCUAAAAAAUUAUACCUAUGCAUUAAAUGGAAAGUUACAGCAUAAAAGAGAGAAAAUAUAUGGAAUUGAAAAUAAAGGGAGUUUUCAUUUUUAGACAACAGGCAGUGAAAAAAGUUUCUCUAAUGUUAUCCUUCAAUAUUCAGUGCAGUGUACUAAACUGGGAUCCAAAAUAUCAAAAUACUCCACUUCAUUGUUACUUACACACAAGCUCAGGACCAGAGUUUAAUGAACAGUGUAAACUGAAAAUCAGAGCUUCAUUAAUUUAAAAAAAAAAAAUCUUCACUCAUAAGAAAUUAUUUCAUACAAGAAUGAUUCAGUUGAAUUAAUGGAAUUAAUAUUAUUGUGCCCUACUAUGUAUGAAAAGCACUUAAGUCUAAAGGACCAUGGUAGGUUGGAUUUGAGGAACAGAACUUUACCUGCAUGCUUGGUUGCUUUGCUGCUCUGUAUUAUGCCAUCUUACAUGCUGUAAAAGAUGUCCUUGACAUUCAUUUUCUGUAGAAAACAACCAGGGAAACUAUUUGCAUAACUGUAAAAACAAAACCCCUUCGAGUCAUUAGUAUUGAAAAAUAUUCUGGUGUGUUUGAGCCUGGCCUGAGGAGUGUGCAGUUCAGAGCUUCCCAGGUCCAAUUUCUGAGCUCAGCUCCAUCAAGUCUAACAGUGCAAAGGUGAUUAUCUGUCUUCUGCUAAGUUCAGGAAUAUAAUAAAACUGGUUACGUUAGGAAGACAAUUUAUUAUCUGCACAAUGGCAGAAAAAGGUAAAGAAAAGGUAAUUUAUGGUGGAGCUUUCUGAGCUUAAUGUAUUGGUUGCAGCAGAGGUUAAAACUUCCAUCUUUUACCUAAACUAGGAGAAAUGAGAAAUACGAGACAGAACACGUGCAAUAACACAGAGAUUACACUUCUCUAUGUAAUCAGAACAUGGAGAUUCAUUCUUUUGGUGUUCUUCCAGUAAUAUUUAUUUUAUGGCACAAAGAGUUACCCUGAAGUACAGGAGGAAAAUCCUUGGGGCUGCAUUUCUCUUUCAGGUUGUUGCCUUUUAUGAUCCCUUGGGAAAAACGGCUCAGCUGGAUUGUGGCUCCACUUAUGGCAAACGACAGAACCAGGCCAGGGAUGAAUUUCUCACUGCUCUCAUUGGUCUGGGGAAGAGAGUCAGGGCCAGCAGGGUCUGGGGAUAACAGGGAGCUCACAGACCUGGGAUGAAUGGAGCAGGAAGAACGACUCCUUCAAGCCUUAGUGCCUCUACCUUUGCUGAGAAUGACAGCGAGUCAAACAAAACAAACUGGGAUAUUUUUCAGACAGACAUUUUCUGAAAACACCCCGGUGCUAACAGGAAAAACACACUUUUCCCUUUGCUGCUUUAGGGAGCCCAGCACUUCCCUGCCCUAUUGCAGCUGCUGCAGUUGCACCAGCCUCACACGCCAGGGGAGAGCAAAGCUGAAAUGCAGCAGCACAUCUUUGGCUCAGUAAAGUAAAAUUUAUGGGUUUGUCUCUUUUCUCCCCAUGUGCCAGAGUGUAUUCCUGUCUAUGACCCUGUAGUGGUUUGGUUUGCUAAUUUGAGAUUUUAUCAAUUUUGAGAUUUCUUGGUUCAUGCACUAAUGAGCGUGGAGGGUUUAGUGCUGGUUAAUUACUGGUUAAUUACUGGUGUACUUCCUGUUUGUGGUGAGGUAGGAUUAGGAGAAAGGUAAAGUAGGCUCAAACCUUUAAAAGGGUAUAGAGAGAAAUUUAUCAACAGUAACUAAAAGAAAGAAUAAUAAGAAUUGGAGCAAAGCCUUCAGAAUACUUCUCUCUCUACAACCUCCUAUAUUUCACUGAUAAUGCAAAGAAAAAACAACCCUAAAAUUUCAGUUAGUUUAUUACUUCUAGAAUAGUCUUUUUUUAGUUUACUUAGGGAGAGAAGUCUUUUUUCUUAAUGUUAUGGAGACUUUACAAGAAAAAAAAAAGUUCUCUUGUGAAUAUUCUUCUGCCUGGCCUGACUCCCAGCCUCUCUCACCUCCUGAUUCAUGAAAACUAUGAGGAGUCCCAGGGAGAUUGAGGAUGAUUCCAGACUGAGCUUGAUUGAUCUGUCACUCAGGUUUUUAAAUUCAUUACAUUUCGUUGAUUAUCUACAAAGACAUUUUCUUAAGUUUGUUUCCUAAGUUAGCAGUAAAAAAUUGGCAAAUUCUUAAAAAUGCAAGGUGGUUGUCAACUGUGAGAAUUCUCUGCAUUCACCCCAAAGAUCUCCAUUCCAAAUGUAGUCAUUUUUGUUUGCUACUAAAGCAGAUUGUGUGUUUGCACACCCAAAUCCAACAGCUCUUUGACAAAAGGAUUUUUCUAUUCCAUUAGAAUAUUAUCUCUUUGGUGUCAAAACACAUCAAUGACAAAAUUGAGAGAAAAAAUAAAUCAGUAAAUAUGUGUGAUUUCAUACUGGUGUGAUUUCAUACUGAAGUGCAGCAAAAUAAGAGUCCAUGGAGUGGAAAAUAAAAGUCCAUGGAGUGGACUGUGCUUUAAAUGACAUUAAACUUGUGAUGCCAUUUCCUGAAUAUUACACAACAUUCAGCCACUUCUGCAGUGGAAAAUGAAGUUUCCCCAGCAUCCAGCACCUCACUCCCCUCAAGAUGCAGCACCUUUCAAGCCAGAAACCUCACCUGAUUGGAUUAGGUCCAUUAAGAAUUGAAUCUCAUGCAUGGUUUAUUAAAUCACUUGCUGAAAUCAACUUGUGAUUACAGAAUAAUGCACUGACAUCCUUGCCUGGAUUGCCUGCAUCUUUCAGGAAGCCUGAUCUGACUGUGGGUGCUUUCCUUACUGGAACUUUAGCAUUAACAAUCUGUGGAUCCCAGUGGUACUGACAUAACUGUGUGAGUUUCCAGAGCCAUGAGACUGGAUUCACCCACAUAUAUUCAGGAAUACUGGCUUUAAAAAAAUAAAUUAUUUCACCCUGCAUAUGUGUUUUACUGCCAAGCAUCCCUCAGUGACUCCUUUUCUAAAACAACUCCAUUUUUUUUUUUGCCCCCAAAGUUCUGAUAAUCACUUGCUGAGCUUCCCUAUCUGCAGUUUGGCACCAUUCAAUCAAACACAUUCACUUUGCUCAUGCAAAAACCUGCCUGAGAUUGGGCUUAUCAGGAACAGGCUUUCUGAAUGAGCUUGGCUUCACUCUUAUGGCCCCUUUCAAGACCUGUGUCCGUGUCCAGCUAUCCCAGAGCAGUGAUAAAUAGAGCCAGGGGUUGUUUAUUACAAACAUUUGCUAUCUGGAAUGUGCUGCCAUCUCAUUACAACGUGUUUCAGCUCCUGCAGGGACAGGUCUCUUAUUUACACUCAGCUUUCUUCAUGGAGGGAGCACUGAGAUUUGGGGCAGUGGAAAGCAGAGUGAAAGGACUCUGUAAUGCUGUUCAAAUAAUCCCUUUCCACUGCCUUUAACGUCAGAAAUUGAUAUCUCUGUAUCAAAAAUUUAAAAAAAAACCUGAUUUGAAGAUCCUCAGGUAAAAAUGUUAAUGGUGAAAGGCUGAAGCUAAGAUAAAAUUCAUGAUAGCCUGUGUCAUCUGAGCUCCUGGGAGCUGUCAGCCUGCCAGCACAUACAGACAGUGGAAGUAUGGAUUGCUUUGGAUUCAGACUCCCAAAGCAAAUUUGGGGGCACUACAGUGCCAUAAGGACUGCUGGACUCAGAAAUUUCAGAUUAAAGGUACAACACAUCUGUGAUUCUGCCCUGGUCUCUGUAAUGUCAUUUGUGAUAGAAAUGAACAUGACAAAUUUUACCCAAUCCAGAUCUAUGGAGCCUCAGUGGAAAACUCCCAGGUAGAUAAUCAGGAUAUUUCUGUAAGCAACUCUUAUUUUAGCUGUGCUCUCAGUGAGCUCUGUGAAGAACUAAUUUUACUAUCACACAUAAAAAGCAAUGAAACAACACUUAAUUUCUGGGAUUCCUUAAAUAGAUAAAGAAAUUACUCUAAAAAUAAAGUAAGAGCAAAAUUCAGACCUGAAAUGCACCAGCUUCAUUCUCUGCUGCAUUUGCAAAAGCACAGCCAGCAGCUGAGGAGAAGGGAUUAUUCUCUUUUAUUCUGGAUUAUUCUCUUUCACCUGGCAUUUAUUGGACCACACUUUGCCUGGUUUUGGACACUUAGUACCUUAACAAACUUAUUUUUUUGAAGGAAGGCAAAGCCAGAUAUUUCUGAGAGAUUCCCAGCAAGGCUCAUGGCGAUGGGCAUAAGUUGGAGCAGAAGAAAGGUGUUAUUAAAGCUAAGCAGAAGUUUCUUCAUGCUGAAGGUGGUCAAAUAUUGGAGCAAGGGCCCGGAGAGGCUGUGAAAUAUCCAACAUUGGAGAUAUUCAUCACUCAAAAGCAGAAAGUGCUGAGCAAGCUCACCAAAGUGAGCCUAAUUUUGGAGGGAGUAGAAGAGAAGAUGUUCAAAGGUCCUUUCCAGCCCGCAGUAGGUGAUUUCAUGUGGCCCUAGGAUUGUGCACCUGCAGAUAAUUUGGUUGCUUUCAUCCCCAACCCCACUGCUCUCACCAGUUACAGAAUUUCCCAGUGUUGUGGGUUGGGUUUUUCCCCAGGGGCUGUGGUGCUGACUUUUCUGAGAAAACCACCCUUAGCAUCUGGUUUUCACAAUGAGAACCUGGUGACAGAAUCAUUCCUCACAAGGCACCAAGGGACUGGCAUUGCUCUGCAUCACAGAUUGCCAAGGAGGGGAAUUCAUGGCAAAUACAAUGUCCUGCCCAUGCUCCUUAUGAGCCAUUUCUUCAAGAUCCAAAUCAAUGCUGUCAGGACAUGGAAUAAACUGUUCUUCCAGAAUGUGAGAAGUGCAAUCUGUUCACAUUACACUCUCCUGCUCUCCAAGGAGGAGAAAGGAUUUGCUUCAGUAAAGAAGGCCCUCUGUUCUACAGCUUUUUCUUUUCUAGCCUCAUAUCUCAUGUUUCAAUGGGUAAACUCUGCAAGUCAGAUUUAUAUUCAAGUCUAAAGUGAUGUUUUGUUGCAGUAAAAUCAGAGGAAGCAAUGACAAAUUGAUCUAUGGAAGAGCAGGUGGGAACUGAGCAGACCUUAUUAAUCUUUUUCUCUCCUUGGUGGCACUCAAGGGCCUUUAAUACACAGAGAGAACUUUAUCUGUGCCUUGUGAAGUUAACCUUGAACAGGACUUGGACUUCUAGAAGUGAAAAUAAUUUUUUCUGUGGUAAUAACUUGCACGUUUUCGUUAAUUCAGAGAUUUUGGGAGCAUCCUCUUGUCCUCAGUGUUCUCUGCCCAGCUGGGCUUUUUGAAUAAUUUAAUGUGGAUUCCCUUCUGAGCCAGCUCUUCCCAGGCUUUACAUCUGAGGCAUCUUCCCCUUCCCAGGGUGGAACAGAGGCCUCUGGAACUAAACUUUGGGGCACCCCAUUGCACUCCCUAAGGCCUUUUAACAAUUUUACAGUGCAUGGCAAAGAGCUUCAUCCUCCUGUUGAAGCAACUUUGUUUCCAUUUAAGGCAUAAAAAUUAAUUGGGCUGAAUAUAGGCUAGUUUAAGCAUGAAUCUGAAAUCUUAUGGCUCAAAAAGUGGAGGGUGCUGUGUUCCAGCAUUUUGAACAGCUGCUCUGGGGGUUUCUGUGGAAGGUUUUGUGUAAGGUACAAACAGAGACUGAUGUGCCUCUGCUGGAACUCUCUAGCUGCCCAUCCAAGAGGUCUGAGUAUGAAGCUGAACUGAAAAUGGGGUCAGAAACCACAAAAUUCCCGUUACAGGUAUGGUACAACCACCAACCAUCUUUAUGUAUUGCAUUACUCUGCCCAGGAGAGGAAAUACUCCUCCACAGGCAGCACUAGUUUGUUUUUUAUUCCAGACCUGCUUUUCUGACUCCCUGAAAAUGCUCAACAGCAGAGCAGAAAUUGAAGACCUGUGAAGUCACUGAUUGUUGUUGUUGUUGUCUUUUAGAAAGAAUUUUGAAAAAAAAAAUGCAUCUACUGCCUUUAAUGCCAUUAAAAGAAUUUA